CACGUUGUGCACAUGUACCCUAAAACUUAAAGUAUAAUAAUAAAAUAAAAAGAAUAAAAAAAAGGAUGAGACCCAUUAUUUUGCUUGCGAGCUAGAUCCAAAUAUGAGUCACUAUCUUAACUGUGGCCAGAUCCACACAUGAAGGUCACAAUUCCUAUUUUGUGUAUUUACUUGUUAGACUCAGGACCUUAAGAGUGGGCUUUUGAAAUACGAAGUGAUAAAAGUAUUUACUUUCACCUGUGUGUGUAAUCGAGAAUUCUAAUCUGAACUUCUUGCUGAUUCUUGUCAUGAAACUCUCUGUACCACCCAAGGAGUUUACACACUAUGAGGUACUGUUGUAAAGUUCUGUGAGCUUGGUACAAAUAUUCAACCCCAGACCUUACCUAUUGCCCUAAGCCUAGCGAUAAAAGGCAAAAUAUUUUUUAUCGGCUGAAUCGCAAUAUAAGAUGGACAAUCAUGCCGGUGAACUGAAGUAAAGUAUAUGUCAUAGUCUUGUUUGUGAGCAAAAACUAGGCAGGGAGUUAACACCACUUAAAUAUUGUGCCAAAAUCAUGUCACAAUGCACUCUUCAGGUAGGGUAUGGGAAUCAGAGUCACAUUAACUGAGUGCUGGACUAGGCAAUAUGAAACCUUCCCAAAUGUGGAAAAAAAGAAAGAAAAAAAAAAGGAAGUAUACCAGUACCACAACCGAGGAAUACAGGGAAUCCUGAGCAAGCGGUAUUAUGAGGAGGCUGCUGGAGACUCGGUACUCUUGGAAAGGAUGUUGUGGACGGAAUGUAUUUCCCCAAAACCUCAUAUGUGGAAAUCGGAUUCUCAGUGUGAUGAUAUUUGGAGGUGGGGCCUUUAAGAGGUAAUUAGGUCAUGAAGAAAUGAACUCUCAUGAAUGGGAUUAGUGCCCUCAUAAAAGAGGCUCCAGAAUGCUUCCUUGUCCCAUCUGCCUUGUGAGGAUACAAGAAGGUAGCCAUUUAUGAACAAGGAAGCAGGCCCUCACCAAAUACCGAAUAUGCCAGUGCCUCGAUCUUGUGCUUCUCAGCCUCCCGAACUGUGAAAUACACAUUUUUGUUGUUUAUAAGCCACCCAGCCUAUGAUAUUUUUAUUAUAGCUAAAACAGACUACCAUAAAGGGUGAUUUGAAAAAUAAAGUGUGAAUUAUGUCUUUGAUUCUUUAAAUCAGUUUCUGUCUUGUUCUAUUUUUGGUCAAUUCCUAUUUUAUAGAAAUAGUAUUAGGCCAAAGAGAGGACUAAAUAUGAAAAUGCUUUCAAAGAUUUCAAAGAAAGGCAUAUAAUAAACACCAAAUAGUAUAAUAACUAUUAGUAUCCCCAUUAUUAAUGUUGUUAUUUUCUUCAUGAUGAGCAGAGCAAAAUCAUUAUUAAAAACUGAGCUGUGAGUGUUUUUUGCAUUUUAAUCUUUCUGGCAAUUUUCUUACCUAGCUUAAAAAGAUGACCCUGACAGCUAAGUCAAUUGUUUUUUUCUCCCAACUUGGACGUUCUUCUAUUUGAGUCCCUUUGUAUACACAAAGAAGGAUUCAGUUCAAAGGAGAAGAGUCCUAGUUUUCAAGUGACAUUCUUGAGCUCUAUUCUAGGCAGUACCCUUUGCUGGAGUUUUCCCUUGAACUAAUCACUUAACAUUUUACAUUUACUUUCAUCACCAUAAAAUAUGGUUAAUAAUCUUCCUAGAUGAUUGUGACAAUCAUUAAAUGAAAAGGUAUAUGUAAUGGGCACUUUAGAUCCUCUUCCUGUAUUUCAGUACUGAGCAAUUGUACCCAUCCCUCAGUGCUGAUUGUUGGCUGCUGAUAGCUCACAGCUGCUCCCUUCUCUAAAAGUUGCCAUUGACUGGGAGCUACUAGGUCAGUUAUGUGACUCGCCGACCCCUGGAGAAUUCCAUGGCCAUUGAUGGACUAAUAUGAGAGGUUCAAAAGGUCAGACCCCUUCCUUUUUAAGUAUACUAAUGAGGCAAAAUGUUUGUUUACUAAAAAAAUUAAAACUACCGUUGACUUAAAAGGUGUAUUUGAACAAACUAGAUGGUAAAUUUCUUAUCCAAAUUUAUUAAAGCACUUACUAUGAUUCAUAUCUAUGCUAUUUGCUAAGAAGAAAAUGAUAAUACAAACAUGGUCUUUGCCUUUAAGGACCUUAUAUUUCAACGUGGGAAGUAUGCACAUACACACAAAUACAAACAUACUUAUAUACAAAUCACAUUAACUCUUGGAAAUUUCUAUGACUUAUAAAACAGAGGAUAACUAGAGGUCUAAACUUAGGGUAGUCAAGAAAGACUUAACUUUAAGUAGAUGGCGGUUUGACUGAAACCUGAACAAACAUGAAAGGGCUACUAAUAAAGUACAACAGCAGAGAGAAUAUCAUCAUAUGCAGUCUUUUAGGCAGGAUAUGUUUGACAUUUGCAAGAGAAUACUGAUGUGUCAGCAGUAUAGUGAGUAAAGGUGAUUGAGGGAAGAGAUAAAGUUGAAAAGAAAGGUAAGAUCACACAAGAUUAAAUGCCAUACUAGAGAGUUUGAGUUUUGCUCUACAUGCAGUGGGAAAACACUAAAGGAUCAUAAAUGCUGAGAGUGGAAGGUGAUAUAAUUUGAAAAGAGGAGAGCGGAUCAUAA
rnacentral:lncRNA from 1 species